GGACCUUUAUCUCAGAGGGUUAGAGGGACCGGCUCAUAACCGGUAUGUCCUGGGUUCGAAUCCCAGAAGGUCCA
rnacentral:tRNA from 1 species